ACGAACUGAGAGGGUGCCAUGGAUCACGAAGGGGUGUGGAUAGAAAACUUGGAUUUGCCAAGGGUUAGUCUAUUUGGGCCUAAGGCCCAAACCAAAUUCUAGGUUAAACCAAGCUGAAACAAAAGGGAACGUUCAAUCAUGAAGGAAAAACCACCACCCAAAAAUCCUAUUCGAAGAUCCCAGAGCGGCGCUCUCACCACACUCAUCAUUACCAUCACUGCGUUUUCACAGUUCUUCAACUUCUUCGCAUCACGCCUCCGUCCAAGUGUUACGUCGCGUGCGCAUCUCCGUAUCUUGGAGCACCGUUCGAUCAGAGUGGAUUCAAAUCUCACCGUGGAUUCACACUUCAUAGAGUUCAACUCCUUCGCUCGUUCAUUGGCUUCUUAUGAUUAGCCUUCAAGGGACGCAUAAGCUUCUUUGAUUCCGACAUUAACUCCUGAGCGUGACUAUAAUCAAUCCUGGAAAAAUGAUUUGGUUCGAAGUGAGCGAUCUCGAUUUAGAGUUGUUUCAAUUCUAAAUAUCAGGUGGAAACACGCAUCUAUGGGAAGAAAGGAUUUCGAGACUUACCAACGAGAGAGGGGAUUUCUCCGGUCCAAAUCGUUGUCACCGGCGAAGGCGAGAAAAAUCCGAACUGCUUCACUCACCGGGUUGUCUUUGAAUCCUCUCAUUCUUCCAACUCAUGUCGAUGCGCUCUUCUUCUUAGUGUUUUUGAUUUGAUCUCUUUGUGCUUCUGUGUUGAGGAAUAAUGAAGAAGAAGAUUAAAGCCUCGCUACGUUUCCCUUGUGGUGGAGUGAAGAAGAUGGUUACAUAAAGGAGAAAUUCUGUUGCAGAAUGAAGAAAAUUAGUUGGUGAAGAUGAAGGGGAGUGGGGUUUACAGAAUGAUGAAGAUUGAAGGAUGGAGAAUUCUGUUGAAGAUGCAAAAUGGAUUGAAGGAAGGUUGAAGAAGGAGAUGGAAGAAUCCAAAUUCUGCAGAAGAUUGGAAGGUUAGGUUCAAGUUUGAACUUGCAUUUGUGCUGUGUUUUUCACCAUUCUGCAGGUUGGGAUCAAGUGUAAAUUUCAACUUUUAGGUUAAGGGUGAAUGGAUAUUAAGAUGUACAUUGGUUGUUAAAAUGGAUAUGGUUUUGAUUAUGUUAAUGGAUAUUUUAUUGUGUUAAUGGAUAUUAAAUGGGUUAAUGGAUA